rnacentral:tRNA from 7 species
CGGAUAGCUCAGUUUGGUUAGAGCGUCAGACUCAUAAUCUGAUUGUCGAAGGUUCGAUUCCUUCUCCAA